rnacentral:rRNA from 1 species
GACAGAGGUGCCAAGCGUUAGGCGGAAUCACUGGGCUUAAAGCGUGUGUAGGCGGACCGUUAAGUACCUUGUGAAAUCCCACGGCUCAACCGUGGAACGGCUGGGUAUACUGGCGGUCUUGAGCCACCUAGGGGCGAGCGGAACAAGCGGUGGAGCGGUGAAAUGCGUAGAUAUCGCUUGGAACGCCAACGGUGAAAACAGCUCGCUGGGGGUGUGCUGACGCUGAGACACGAAAGCCAGGGGAGCGAACGGG